rnacentral:rRNA from 1 species
CCCUUAGAUGUUCUGGGCUGCACGCGUGCUACAAUGAAGCGUCCAACAAGAUGCGAAGCCGAAAGGCUCAGCGGAUCUUUGAAGUCGUUUCGUGACCGGGACAGUUGAUUGCAAUUAUUCGACUCGAACGAGGAAUUCCUUGUAAUCGCGGUUCAUCAUAUGGCGCUGAAUACGUCCCUGCCCUUUGUACACACCGCCCGUCGCUCCUACCGAUUGAGCGAUCCGGUGAAAUCUUCGGAUCUGAGAGAUGUCUGAUUAAUUUCGGACGCCUUUUGGAAAAGUUGUUUAAACCUUACCAUUUAGAGGAAGGUGAAGUCGUAACA